GACGAACGCUGGCGCGCUGCCUAACACAUGCAAGUCGAACGAGCGAGAGAGAGCUUGCUUUCUCAAGCGAGUGGCGAACGGGUGAGUAACGCGUGAGGAACCUGCCUCAAAGAGGGGGACAACAGUUGGAAACGACUGCUAAUACCGCAUAAGCCCACGACCCGGCAUCGGGUUGAGGGAAAAGGAGCAAUCCGCUUUGAGAUGGCCUCGCGUCCGAUUAGCUGGUUGGUGAGGUAACGGCCCACCAAGGCGACGAUCGGUAGCCGGACUGAGAGGUUGAACGGCCACAUUGGGACUGAGACACGGCCCAGACUCCUACGGGAGGCAGCAGUGGGGAAUAUUGCACAAUGGGGGAAACCCUGAUGCAGCGACGCCGCGUGGAGGAAGAAGGUCUUCGGAUUGUAAACUCCUGUUGUUGAGGAAGAUAAUGACGGUACUCAACAAGGAAGUGACGGCUAACUACGUGCCAGCAGCCGCGGUAAAACGUAGGUCACAAGCGUUGUCCGGAAUUACUGGGUGUAAAGGGAGCGCAGGCGGGAAGACAAGUUGGAAGUGAAAUCUAUGGGCUCAACCCAUAAACUGCUUUCAAAACUGUUUUUCUUGAGUAGUGCAGAGGUAGGCGGAAUUCCCGGUGUAGCGGUGGAAUGCGUAGAUAUCGGGAGGAACACCAGUGGCGAAGGCGGCCUACUGGGCACCAACUGACGCUGAGGCUCGAAAGUGUGGGUAGCANACAGG
rnacentral:rRNA from 1 species